rnacentral:rRNA from 1 species
GCUAAACGCGAAGAACCUUACCAAGGCUUGACAUAUACGGUCUAUCCCUAGAGAUAGGGAGUGCUUCGGCGCCGUAUACAGGUGGUGCAUGGUUGUCGUCAGCUCGUGUCGUGAGAUGUUGGGUUAAGUCCCGCAACGAGCGCAACCCUCGUCCUAUGUUGCCAGCGGGUAAUGCCGGGGACUCAUGGGAGACUGCCGGGGUCAACUCGGAGGAAGGUGGGGAUGAGGUCAAAUCAUCAUGCCCCUUAUGUCUUGGGCUUCACGCAUGCUACAAUGGCCGGUACAAAGGGCUGCAAUACCGCAAGGUGGAGCGAAUCCCAAAAAGCCGGUCUCAGUUCGGAUUGAGGUCUGCAACUCGACCUCAUGAAGUCGGAGUCGCUAGUAAUCGCAGAUCAGCAACGCUGCGGUGAAUACGUUCCCGGGUCUUGUACACACCG